GUUGGAAUCGGCCAUGCUGGGAGUGUUUGCACCACGGGAACUGGUGAAUGCUGUGCGUCAAAGCCAGGUCACCGCCCACCGACGGCCCUGGUCUCCCAGGGCCCCUCUCGCCUCACCUUGGGGGCUGCAUUACAGACUGGAAAGGCUGCUUAUGAGCAUGGCACAUGGUGGACCCUUGCUACAGGAGUCACACGAAUGCAUGAGAAAACCAAGGAACAACUGAAUAGACAGCUGGGGCCAUGCUCUCUCACGUCUCCACUUCUGCCGGGUGUCAGAACUUCCCAGGGCAGGGGAGCAGCCCCUUCCCACAGGCAUCUCUCCCUGCAGAGAAGACGCCCCAGAAACCCACACUGCAGCGAGGGCCAGCGUGGCCCCCUGCCUCCCUGGCGACAUCACAAGGGCCUCCAUGCAAGUCCCAAGCGGUCCAUCCGAGGUGCAGGG
rnacentral:lncRNA from 1 species